UGAAGCUCUUUCAGUCUGGAACGAAACGGUACAGGCUAAUACCCUGUGCUGAAUGACGGUACCGGCAGAAGAAGCACCGGCUAACUACGUGCCAGCAGCCGCGGUAAUACGUAGGGUGCGAGCGUUAAUCGGAAUUACUGGGCGUAAAGCGUGCGCAGGCGGAUUGUUAAGCAAGAUGUGAAAUCCCCGGGCUUAACCUGGGAACUGGCAUUUUGAACUGGCAGUCUAGAGUGCGUCAGAGGGGGGUGGAAUUCCACGUGUAGCAGUGAAAUGCGUAGAGAUGUGGAGGAACACCAAUGGCGAAGGCAGCCCCCUGGGAUGACACGGACGCUCAUGUACGAAAGCGUGGGUAGCAAACAGGAUUAGAUACCCUGGUAGUCCACGCCCUAAACGAUGUCAACUGGUUGUUGGGGGAGUGAAAUCCCUUAGUAACGAAGCUAACGCGUGAAGUUGACCGCCUGGGGAGUACGGUCGCAAGAUUAAAACUCAAAGGAAUUGACGGGGACCCGCACAACCGGUGGAUGAUGUGGAUUAAUUCGAUGCAACGCGAAAAACCUUACCUACCCUUGACAUGUCCUGGAAUCCUGCAGAGAUGCGGGAGUGCCCGAAAGGGAAUCUGGAACACAGGUGCUGCAUGGCUGUCGUCAGCUCGUGUCGUGAGAUGUUGGGUUAAGUCCCGCAACGAGCGCAACCCUUAUCAUUAGUUGCUACGCAAGGGCACUCUAAUGAGACUGCCGGUGACAAACCGGAGGAAGGUGGGGA
rnacentral:rRNA from 1 species